ACGGGUGCGUAACGCGUAUGCAACCUACCUUUUACAGGGGGAUAGUCAAGAGAAAUUUUGAAUAAUACCCCAUACGAUCUGAAUCACUCCUGUGAUACAGAAGAAAACUACGGUGGUAAAAGAUGGGCAUGCGUCCUAUUAGUUUGUUGGUGAGGUAACGGCUCACCAAGACUACGAUAGGUAGGGGUCCUGAGAGGGAGAUCCCCCACACUGGUACUGAGACACGGACCAGACUCC
rnacentral:rRNA from 1 species